GUAGCUCAGUGGUAGAGCG
rnacentral:misc_RNA from 1 species